rnacentral:rRNA from 1 species
GCUCAGAACCUUAAAUGAAUUGACGGGGCCCGCGACAAGCGGUGGAGUAUGUGGUUUAAUUCGAUGCAACGCGAAGAACCUUACCUGGUCUUGACAUCCCGGAGACCCUUAGGAAACUAGGGGGUGCUUCCAUCUGGAAGAAUCUGGAGACAGGUGCUGCAUGGCUGUCGUCAGCUCGUGUCGUGAGAUGUUGGGUUAAGUCCCGCAACGAGCGCAACCCUUGCCUUUAGUUGCCAGCAGUUCGGCUGGGCACUCUAAAGGGACUGCCGGUGUUAAACCGGAGGAAGGUGGGGAUGACGUCAAGUCCUCAUGGCCUUUAUGACCAGGGCUACACACGUACUACAAUGGCCGAUACAAAGGGCAGCGACACUGCGAGGUGAAGCCAAUCCCGUAAAAUCGGUCUCAGUCCGGAUUGGAGUCUGCAACUCGACUCCAUGAAGUUGGAAUCGCUAGUAAUCGUGGAUCAGCAUGCCACGGUGAAUACGUUCCCGGGCCUU